ensembl:piRNA 21ur-7807 ncRNA
UCUGAAUUCUCUCUCCAACCU